UACGUAGGGGGCAAGCGUUAUCCGGAAUGAUUGGGCGUAAAGAGUACGUAGGUGGUUUCGUAAGCGCAGGGUGAAAGGCAGUGGCUUAACCAUUGUAAGCCUUGCGAACUGCGAGACUUGAGUGCAGGAGAGGAAAGCGGAAUUCCUAGUGUAGCGGUGAAAUGCUUAGAUAUUAGGAGGAACACCAGUGGCGAAGGCGGCUUUCUGGACUGUAACUGACACUGAGGUACGAAAGCGUGGGGAGCAAACAGG
rnacentral:rRNA from 1 species